AGAGUUUGAUCCUGGCUCAGAUUGAACGCUGGCGGCAUGCCUUACACAUGCAAGUCGAACGGCAGCACGGGAGCAAUCCUGGUGGCGAGUGGCGAACGGGUGAGUAAUAUAUCGGAACGUGCCCAGUCGUGGGGGAUAACGCAGCGAAAGCUGUGCUAAUACCGCAUACGAUCUCUGGAUGAAAGCGGGGGACUCGCAAGGGCCUCGCGCGAUUGGAGCGGCCGAUAUCAGAUUAGCUAGUUGGUGGGGUAAAAGCCCACCAAGGCGACGAUCUGUAGCUGGUCUGAGAGGACGACCAGCCACACUGGAACUGAGACACGGUCCAGACUCCUACGGGAGGCAGCAGUGGGGAAUUUUGGACAAUGGGCGCAAGCCUGAUCCAGCAAUGCCGCGUGCAGGAUGAAGGCCUUCGGGUUGUAAACUGCUUUUGUACGGAACGAAACGGUCUGCCUUAAUACGGUGGGCUAAUGACGGUACCGUAAGAAUAAGCACCGGCUAACUACGUGCCAGCAGCCGCGGUAAUACGUAGGGUGCGAGCGUUAAUCGGAAUUACUGGGCGUAAAGCGUGCGCAGGCGGCCUUGAAAGUCAGAUGUGAAAUCCCCGAGCUCAACUUGGGAACUGCGUUUGAAACUCCAAGGCUAGAAUAUGUCAGAGGGGGGUAGAAUUCCACGUGUAGCAGUGAAAUGCGUAGAGAUGUGGAGGAAUACCGAUGGCGAAGGCAGCCCCCUGGGUUACUACUGACGCUCAUGCACGAAAGCGUGGGGAGCAAACAGGAUUAGAUACCCUGGUAGUCC
rnacentral:rRNA from 1 species